UGAGGAAUCUUGCGCAAUGGGGGAAACCCUGACGCAGCAACGCCGCGUGAGUGAGGAAGGUCUUCGGGUCGUAAAGCUCUGUCAGGCGGGAAGAAAUGGAUGGAGGUGAACAGCCGCCAUGCUUGACGGUACCGCCAGAGGAGGCACCGGCUAACUCCGUGCCAGCAGCCGCGGUAAUACGGGGGGUGCAAGCGUUGCUCGGAAUCAUUGGGCGUAAAGAGCGUGUAGGCGGCUUGGUAAGUCAGAUGUGAAAGCCCUGGGCUCAACCCGGGAAGUGCAUUUGAAACUGCCAGGCUCGAGUAGGGGAGAGGGAAGUGGAAUUCCUGGUGUAGAGGUGAAAUUCGUAGAUAUCAGGAGGAACACCGGUGGCGAAGGCGACUUCCUGGCCCUAUACUGACGCUGAGACGCGAGAGCGUGGGUAGCAAACAG
rnacentral:rRNA from 1 species